rnacentral:rRNA from 1 species
GAAUAUUGGACAAUGGGGGAAACCCUGAUCCAGCAAUGCCGCGUGAGUGAAGAAGGCCUUAGGGUUGUAAAACUCUUUCACUGAUGAAGAUGAUGACGGUAAUCAGAGAAGAAGCCCCGGCUAACUCCGUGCCAGCAGCCGCGGUAAUCCGGAGGGGGCUAGCGUUGUUCGGAUUUACUGGGCGUAAAGCGCACGUAGGCGGCAUAUCAAGUCAGAGGUGAAAGGCCCGGGCUCAACCUGGGAACUGCCUUUGAUACUGGUAUGCUUGAGUUCGGAAGAGGGUAGUGGAAUUCCAAGUGUAGAGGUGAAAUUCGUAGAUAUUUGGAAGAACACCGGUGGCGAAGGCGGCUACCUGGUCCGAUACUGACGCUGAGGUGCGAAAGCGUGGGGAGCGAACAGG